UACGUAGGGGGCAAGCGUUGUCCGGAAUUAUUGGGCGUAAAGAGCGCGCAGGCGGUCGUUCAAGUCGCGUGUGAAAGCCCCCGGCUCAACUGGGGAGGGUCACGCGAUACUGAUCGACUCGAAGGCAGGAGAGGGUAGUGGAAUUCCCGGUGUAGUGGUGAAAUGCGUAGAUAUCGGGAGGAACACCGGUGGCGAAGGCGACUACCUGGCCUGUUCAUGACGCUGAGGCGCGAAAGCUAGGGGAGCAAACGGG
rnacentral:rRNA from 1 species